UUUUCGCGCGCGCGCGCACUCGCUCGCUCGCUCUCCCCUCUCGCUCGCUCGUUUUCUUUCUUUCCUUUUUUUGCGCUCGCCCGCGCGAGGCGCCUUUUCCGCUCGCGCCGCCCGCGCCCGCCUGCUCGCGCCCUCCUUCCUGCUGGGCCCGGCAGAGCGGGGCGGCCGGCAGCUCUCCCCGCCCCCCUGCACCCGCGCUCCGGCGGAGGCGGCGGCGCCGCUCCGCGCUCCGACUCAUUCCAAUAUGGCACGGACGCAGGGCGCAUGCGCCCGCACUCCCCCAACCCCCUCCCUACCCCCAGCCCCACGGUCCUCCCGGCAACCCGCGCCCCUCGCCUAGCGCGUGUGGCACUCACGGCUCAGCCUCCCCGCGGCCACCAGGGCUUGGAGCUGCACGGGAGAGGAGGCGUCGGUGGGCCCAGGUCCAUUGCGCGCCGCGUCCCCAGUCGGCACCUCGCCGAGGACGCCCGCGAGGCGGGGGCGGCGCGGCGUGGGCCUCUGAUCCCCGACGGCGCCGUGGACUGCGUGCGGUUGAGAGACGCGCUCUCGGGCUCCGGAGGCGUGCCCUGGCCCUGCAUGGAUUUUGGAGAGAAAGACCUCACCUUGGCUUCUGGACCGAGCGGUUCAGGACCCGGCGAAGUCCCUGAUCCGUCCAUCCCCGGCGAAGCGCGCCACUGUAGCCCGCACGUGACCACCUCGAGCAAGAUGGCAUUAACAGACAGGCAGCGCCUCGGCAGGUCCCUGAUGGGUACGUGCCGCUGCCGAGGGGGCUGCGCUCGCCGACCCGGCCACUUCGGGAAUCCGCAAGUUAUUUGAGACUUAGCAGGGCACUCUGGUGCCCAGGUCUACCAAAUCCGACUCGAGGACCUCGGCAUACCUGAUGUGCUCCGGAGGCGCUUUGUAAACCGUUUCUCCUGCGGCGAAGAGGGUACAGGGUGAACUAAGAUCUCCGGGAGAAUGAGCAGCUCAAAAAAGCUGUGAAUCAACCUCGAAUCCCGAGGUGCCCACGCGCAGUUAGAUUCGGCGACUCAUCCCUUCCUCUGAAAGCGCAGGUGUCAGUAGGAUGCACACACACCUGCUCCAGAAAGUUCCCUCAGAAGGGAGUCCCAGCGCUAAUGGGACCCGGGAGUGCCAAUGAGAUCAGACUCUCCAGCCCUAGAUGGUGUCAAAGCCCCUGCCUUUGAGAGAAGAGGAGGUGCCCACCCAGACACGCACCCGCCACACAAUAUCUUGGGAUCUUAACACUAGGCAUCUUUCUCUGUUUUGGCAACCUUGGGAAAUACCCACAUUACAAACAACAGAUGAUUUUUUUUUUUAGAAAGAUCUCACCCAAACCUCAUUCAAGAGAUUUGUUGGGAGGGAGGAAUCCAGGAGAGUGCCUGCCUCUGCCAGGGUGAAAAAAGGCAGCCCCAAACCGAA
rnacentral:lncRNA from 1 species